CCGGUUCCCGGCUUGUACACACCGCCCGUCACACCACGAAGUCGGCAAUACCCGAAGCCGGUGGCCUAACCCGCAAGGGAGGGAGCCGUCGAAGGUAGGGUCGAUGAUUGGGGUG
rnacentral:rRNA from 1 species